UACGGAGGGAGCUAGUGUUGUUCGGAAUUACUGGGCGUAAAGCGCACGUAGGCGGCUUUGUAAGUUAGAGGUGAAAGCCCGGGGCUCAACCCCGGAAUUGCCUUUAAGACUGCAUCGCUUGAAUCCAGGAGAGGUGAGUGGAAUUCCGAGUGUAGAGGUGAAAUUCGUAGAUAUUCGGAAGAACACCAGUGGCGAAGGCGGCUCACUGGACUGGUAUUGACGCUGAGGUGCGAAAGCGUGGGGAGCAAACAGG
rnacentral:rRNA from 1 species